rnacentral:rRNA from 1 species
GUCGACGGUGAUGGAGAGCUUGCUCUUCGGAUCAGUGGCGAACGGGUGAGUAACACGUGAGCAAUCUGCCCCUGACUCUGGGAUAAGCGCUGGAAACGGCGUCUAAUACUGGAUAUGAGCUGCGAUCGCAUGGUCAGCAGUUGGAAAGAACUUCGGUCAGGGAUGAGCUCGCGGCCUAUCAGCUUGUUGGUGAGGUAAUGGCUCACCAAGGCGUCGACGGGUAGCCGGCCUGAGAGGGUGACCGGCCACACUGGGACUGAGACACGGCCCAGACUCCUACGGGAGGCAGCAGUGGGGAAUAUUGCACAAUGGGCGCAAGCCUGAUGCAGCAACGCCGCGUGAGGGACGACGGCCUUCGGGUUGUAAACCUCUUUUAGCAGGGAAGAAGCGAAAGUGACGGUACCUGCAGAAAAAGCACCGGCUAACUACGUGCCAGCAGCCGCGGUAAUACGUAGGGUGCAAGCGUUAUCCGGAAUUAUUGGGCGUAAAGAGCUCGUAGGCGGUUUGUCGCGUCUGCUGUGAAAACCCGAGGCUCAACCUCGGGCCUGCAGUGGGUACGGGCAGACUAGAGUGCGGUAGGGGAGAUUGGAAUUCCUGGUGUAGCGGUGGAAUGCGCAGAUAUCA